GAUUGGACCCCGGCCGCAGCGGCUUCUGGGAGUGCAGUUCGGGGUCUCGCUCUAGUUAGGCCGGAACACGGCUUAGCAGCUCCUCAACCUUGGCGUUGUCCGACAGCCCAGAACCAAACCUUCCUCGGAUAAAAGAAAGCUCUGAAUAAAGGAACUCACUUGCAUGACAUCCUUCAAGUCUUUCUCCAAGAUAUAAAGAAAUGACUUCUGCAUUCCCAAUCAUCUUGGAAACUUGAGCACUCAAGACCAUAAUUUGUAAGGCUUUUCAUUAUCUUCCACGGGGGUGGUUGUACUUCAUAACUGUGCUGCUUUGGAGAGAAUACUGUAGCAUCAUAUCUGGACUUCAGUACUGAAAAAGAACAAAACAAGUAGGUGUUUGUUUUUUCCUUUUCCAGAAAAAAGAACUUUUGUAGUAAACACUGGAAAGUUGAGACUCAAAAUAAUAUCUGUAUGCUCUUGAAUGUGAUUAAGAAAUUAGAAAAUGGACAAGUAGAGAAAGAGGAAAUACCAUAAAUUGAGGUGAAUGAGGUAAUCAGAGAAAUCAUUAAGAGUCGUUCUAAAAUGUUAAUGUGGAGCAGAAUCACUGCAGAACCAUGGUUUUAAAAAAUGAAUGUUUCUGUGAAACCCUAGAAAAGACAAAUAUAAGAGUAACAGAAAGCAAAUCAUUUGUUGCUUGUGGCUAGGGGGUAUGAACGAUUGUGUGGGAAGGAGCACAAGGGAACUUUUCAGGGUGAUGAAAAUUUAUCUUGUCUGUGGUACUGGUCAUAAAAGUGUACACCUUUGUCAUUAGUCAUUAAAAUAUGCUUAAAAUGCAGGCAUUUAAUUUACUAUAAAUUGUACCUCAAUAAAGUGGAUUUUUAAAAACGA